GAAAAAGAGAGGAGAAGGAGAGAGUCUCUCGAUUAUCACACAUUUAUAGACCACCUCGAUCGGCCCUUAGUAUUUAGCCUAAAUGUUGAAGAGAAAGCAAAACGUCUGGUCGUUUAUGAAGAUCAAGAAACUAAAGCAAAUACAACACUGAAUAAGAUAAGUUCUGUGAAUAAUUAACAGGCUUUUUUCUUUUCUUUUUACAACAUGACUCCUCUUACAUUCAACAAGGAAAUGGCAGACAAAUUAACAAGAAGACUGAAACAACCACAAAUGGAGACGGAGUCAUUAAGAUCAAUAUUCAAACAGAAUCAUUCCAGUGAUGUUCGUCCAUGACUUCCUUAAUUGUAACAAAUCGACCCUUCUCAAUUGAAAGCUGUGCUGCAACUCCAAUGGCCACCGAAAUCAAACCAUCUUGCAAAUCCACUGCAGGAGCUUUCUCACCUUUUGCUCGAAUUGCAGACAGGAAAUUAAGGUGUUCCAAAUAGCUAGACCCAUGAUGCAGUCCAUCAUAUUUGAUCCGGUCAUCUUCAGCCUUCAAUGUUUGGACACCAUCUCUUCCUGCCACUCGAGUACCAUAGCGCACUAUACUCUCAGGAACAAAAGCCUCCCCCUUUCCAAUAUCACCAACAACAGAUAUUUCUUGCUCAUUUUUGCUACCUUCAGCAAACAUGCAAAGAUCAAGCAUUCCCCGAGAACCAUUAUCAAACUCGAUAAUAACAUAUGCAUUGUCAAUGAUGUCAGGUACCUUUCCAUCAUAGACUUCAUCUUUGUGAUUAACAUCUAUAGCUCCAGAAGCCAUAACACGAACAGGAUCUGCACUGGCAAACAGCCUCAUCAGAUCAAAGAAAUGGCAGCACUUCUCAACCAGAGUCCCCCCUGUGUUAGCAUUGAACCGGUUCCAAUUGUUAACCUUAACCAAAAAUGGAAAUCGAUGUUCUCGGAUUGCCACCAUUUUGACUUGCCCCAGAGAUCCACCCUUAACAAUUUCAAUCAGCUUAGCGACUGGUGGCAUGUAUCUAUACUCUAAUCCAACUUGCACAAGCAUAUCUGACCUCUUUUUAGCAGCAUAUACAACCUAAUAAAACAGAAAGAUCAACAACCAAGAAGCAAGGACACACACACGUUCAGAUUUCAGAGAAAGCAAUAUCUAAAUAUCUGUUCAUUAAGCUGGGACUAACUAUAAAUUUCUUUUCUCCUUUUCUGGUUUUCUUUUUCUUUAGUCACCUUCACCAACCCACAAACUGUAACAAAUGGACUUUGGGAAAACAAUUCAAAAUCUCACCAAAUGUUAAAUCUACAAACAUUCAAGAUAACCCCUUUAAUUUUAUGAUUGCAGUUCAAGAAUAAACGUUCCUUAAAACUUCCAGAGUACCCAAACGAGUUCCGGAUUCUUCCCACCAUUCACACCAAACAGUGACACAGCUGAGCUUCCAAAACAUAAAAAUAACUAGUGAAAAUGCUACUAAUGUUUAAGCAGAAGCAUAGUUUAAAUUUUAAACACUUGAAGCAGUGGAUUAAAAAAAAAGCCAUGGAAACUGACAGACCUUCCUGCAAUCAGCAACGGUGGUGCAGAGUGGCUUCUCCACCAGUACAUGAUGGGGUUUCGGGUGGUGAAUAAUAUCCAUAAGAAUUUGAUAGUGAGUCAUGUUUGGAGACGACACAACCACUACAUCACAGAGCCCACUAUCCAAUAGGUCCUGAUGCCCGUAAGAGGCCAACCAAAGGAUUGGGCAAGUUCAAGAGCGAGUUUUUGGGAGGAGACAUGAGGAUCUGCUAUGCAAACAACGGCCACGUUUUCUGUGCGAAGAUGAUGGAGAUUAAUGAGGUGUUCUCUACCCAUCAUCCCCACCCCUAUAAUCCCAUACUUCACAGUAUUGCUGGCUGCCAUGGAUGAAGAAGAGCUGGUUGCCUUACUUGAUUGAUCUCUUUCAAAUGUCUGGGUUCAUUUUGUUUCCUUUCUGGUCCAAGUUCAUUGGUAGUGAGCGGAAGUUGACUGGACUCGCGCGUGGGGGUGAAUG
rnacentral:misc_RNA from 1 species